UACGUAGGGUGCAAGCGUUAAUCGGAAUACUGGGCGUAAGCGUGCGCAGGCGGUGAUGUAAGACAGAUGUGAAAUCCCCGGGCUCAACCUGGGAACUGCAUUUGUGACUGCAUCGCUGGAGUGCGGCAGAGGGGGAUGGAAUUCCGCGUGUAGCAGUGAAAUGCGUAGAUAUGCGGAGGAACACCGAUGGCGAAGGCAAUCCCCUGGGCCUGCACUGACGCUCAUGCACGAAAGCGUGGGGAGCAACAGGAU
rnacentral:rRNA from 1 species